CAUCUUACCUGGCCAGGGGAGAUACCAUGUCAAGAAGGGUGGUGACCCAGGGGCGAGGCUUAACCAUGCUACUCCGUUAUGCGACCUCUGCGAAUUCCCAAAAUGUGGGAAUCCGACUGAAUAAUUGUCGUGUGGGGGACUGCGUUUCGCGAUCUCCAU